rnacentral:rRNA from 1 species
CCUACGGGCGGCAGCAGUGGGGAAUAUUGGGCAAUGGGCGCAAGCCUGACCCAGCAACGCCGCGUGAAGGAAGAAGGCUUUCGGGUUGUAAACUUCUUUUGUCAGGGAAGAGUAGAAGACGGUACCUGACGAAUAAGCCACGGCUAACUACGUGCCAGCAGCCGCGGUAAUACGUAGGUGGCAAGCGUUGUCCGGAUUUACUGGGUGUAAAGGGCGUGUAGCCGGGUUGACAAGUCAGAUGUGAAAUCCUGCGGCUUAACCGCAGAACUGCCUUUGAAACUGUUGAUCUUGAGUACUGGAGAGGCAGACGGAAGUCCUAGUGUAGCGGUGAAAUGCGUAGAUAUUAGGAGGAACACCAGUGGCGAAGGCGGUCUGCUGGACAGCAACUGACGGUGAGGCGCGAAAGCGUGGGGAGCAAACAGGAUUAGAUACCCCAGUAGUC